AACGAACGCUGGCGGCAGGCUUAACACAUGCAAGUCGAACGCCCCGCAAGGGGAGUGGCAGACGGGUGAGUAACGCGUGGGAAUCUACCCAGAUCUACGGAACAACAGUUGGAAACGACUGCUAAUACCGUAUACGCCCUACGGGGGAAAGAUUUAUCGGAUUUGGAUGAGCCCGCGUACGAUUAGCUAGUUGGUGGGGUAAUGGCCUACCAAGGCGACGAUCUUUAGCUGGUCUGAGAGGAUGAUCAGCCGCACUGGGACUGAGACACGGCCCAGACUCCUACGGGAGGCAGCAGUGGGGAAUAUUGGACAAUGGGCGCAAGCCUGAUCCAGCCAUGCCGCGUGAGUGAUGAAGGCCUUAGGGUUGUAAAGCUCUUUCAGUAGGGAAGAUAAUGACGGUACCUACAGAAGAAGCCCCGGCUAACUUCGUGCCAGCCGCCGCGGUAAAAC
rnacentral:rRNA from 1 species